rnacentral:rRNA from 1 species
GCCUCAAUAAUGUGUGACUACCCC